AUUGAACGCUGGCGGCAUGCCUUACACAUGCAAGUCGAACGGUAACGGGCCUUCGGGUGCCGACGAGUGGCGAACGGGUGAGUAAUACAUCGGAACGUGCCCGAUCGUGGGGGAUAACGAGGCGAAAGCUUUGCUAAUACCGCAUACGAUCUACGGAUGAAAGCAGGGGACCGCAAGGCCUUGCGCGGACGGGGCGGCCGAUGGCAGAUUAGGUAGUUGGUGGGAUAAAAGCUUACCAAGCCGACGAUCCGUAGCUGGUCUGAGAGGAUGAUCAGCCACACUGGGACUGAGACACGGCCCAGACUCCUACGGGAGGCAGCAGUGGGGAAUUUUGGACAAUGGGCGCAAGCCUGAUCCAGCCAUGCCGCGUGCAGGAUGAAGGCCUUCGGGUUGUAAACUGCUUUUGUACGGAACGAAAAGCCUUCUUUUAAUACAGGAGGGUCAUGACGGUACCGUAAGAAUAAGCACCGGCUAACUACGUG
rnacentral:rRNA from 1 species